rnacentral:rRNA from 1 species
GGUCAAGUGAAGAAGCGCAUACGGUGGAUGCCUUGGCAGUCAGAGGCGAUGAAAGACGUGGUAGCCUGCGAAAAGCUUCGGGGAGUCGGCAAACAGACUUUGAUCCGGAGAUCUCUGAAUGGGGGAACCCACCUAGGAUAACCUAGGUAUCUUGUACUGAAUCCAUAGGUGCAAGAGGCGAACCAGGGGAACUGAAACAUCUAAGUACCCUGAGGAAAAGAAAUCAACCGAGAUUCCCUUAGUAGUGGCGAGCGAACGGGGAUUAGCCCUUAAGCUUCAUUGAUUUUAGCGGAACGCUCUGGAAAGUGCGGCCAUAGUGGGUGAUAGCCCCGUACGCGAAAGGAUCUUUGAAGUGAAAUCGAGUAGGACGGAGCACGAGAAACUUUGUCUGAACAUGGGGGGACCAUCCUCCAAGGCUAAAUACUACUGACUGACCGAUAGUGAACCAGUACCGUGAGGGAAAGGCGAAAAGAACCCCGGAGAGGGGAGUGAAAUAGAACCUGAAACCGUAUGCGUACAAGCAGUGGGAGCCUACUUGUUAGGUGACUGCGUACCUUUUGUAUAAUGGGUCAGCGACUUAUAUUCAGUGGCAAGCUUAACCGUAUAGGGUAGGCGUAGCGAAAGCGAGUCUUAAUAGGGCGUUUAGUCGCUGGGUAUAGACCCGAAACCGGGCGAUCUAUCCAUGAGCAGGUUGAAGGUUAGGUAACACUGACUGGAGGACCGAACCCACUCCCGUUGAAAAGGUAGGGGAUGACUUGUGGAUCGGAGUGAAAGGCUAAUCAAGCUCGGAGAUAGCUGGUUCUCCUCGAAAGCUAUUUAGGUAGCGCCUCAUGUAUCACUCUGGGGGGUAGAGCACUGUUUCGGCUAGGGGGUCAUCCCGACUUACCAAACCGAUGCAAACUCCGAAUACCCAGAAGUGCCGAGCAUGGGAGACACACGGCGGGUGCUAACGUCCGUCGUGAAAAGGGAAACAACCCAGACCGCCAGCUAAGGUCCCAAAGUUGUGGUUAAGUGGUAAACGAUGUGGGAAGGCUUAGACAGCUAGGAGGUUGGCUUAGAAGCAGCCACCCUUUAAAGAAAGCGUAAUAGCUCACUAGUCGAGUCGGCCUGCGCGGAAGAUGUAACGGGGCUCAAACCACACACCGAAGCUGCGGGUGUCACGCAAGUGACGCGGUAGAGGAGCGUUCUGUAAGCCUGUGAAGGUGAGUUGAGAAGCUUGCUGGAGGUAUCAGAAGUGCGAAUGCUGACAUGAGUAACGACAAUGGGUGUGAAAAACACCCACGCCGAAAGACCAAGGGUUCCUGCGCAACGUUAAUCGACGCAGGGUUAGUCGGUUCCUAAGGCGAGGCUGAAAAGCGUAGUCGAUGGGAAACAGGUUAAUAUUCCUGUACUUCUGGUUACUGCGAUGGAGGGACGGAGAAGGCUAGGCCAGCUUGGCGUUGGUUGUCCAAGUUUAAGGUGGUAGGCUGAAAUCUUAGGUAAAUCCGGGGUUUCAAGGCCGAGAGCUGAUGACGAGUCGUCUUUUAGAUGACGAAGUGGUUGAUGCCAUGCUUCCAAGAAAAGCUUCUAAGCUUCAGGUAACCAGGAACCGUACCCCAAACCGACACAGGUGGUCGGGUAGAGAAUACCAAGGCGCUUGAGAGAACUCGGGUGAAGGAACUAGGCAAAAUGGCACCGUAACUUCGGGAGAAGGUGCGCCGGCUAGGG